CCUACGGGAGGCUGCAGUGGGGAAUAUUGCACAAUGGGGGCAACCCUGAUGCAGCAACGCCGCGUGAGCGAUGAAGGCCUUCGGGUCGUAAAGCUCUGUCCUAAGGGGAGAAUACUUACGGUACCUAAGGAGGGAGCACCGGCGAACUACGUGACAGCAGCCGCGGUAAUACGUGGGGGGCUAGCGUUAUCCGGAAUUUCUGGGCGUAAAGGGUGCGUAGGCGGCCCUUCAAGUCAGAGGGGGAAGGCUACGGCUCAACCGUAGAAAGCCAUUGAAACUGUCGGGCUUGAGUACAGGAGAGGAGAGUGGAAUUCCCAGUGUAGCGGUGAAAUGCGUAGAUAUUGGGAGGAACACCAGUUGCGAAGGCGGCUCUCUGGACUGUAACUGACGCUGAGGCACGAAAGCGUGGGGAGCGAACAGGAUUAGAUACCCCUGUAGUC
rnacentral:rRNA from 1 species